GGUUUCCCGACCCCCACAAACACCGCCUGUGGACGUGGAGAGUCAGACGUCCCGAACUCGGGGCUCCUGGAAACCAUGCAUAAUUACUUUCAUCAUCCGCUACCCACUUAAUGCGGGAAAGAACACUUUCUUUUAGGUGUUAAUCUAGGCCAGCAGGGAAGAUGCUACUUGGAAAACAGCUGGGUUCCUGCUGGACGUCUUCAGGAGCGCGCUGAGCUGCGCAGGUGUGCGAGUUUUGACUGCCAUGAAGAGGGUGAAGUUACAAGGGUCAUUUGAAGAAACACUUUCCAUGGCGAAUUCUACAGAGCUCAGCGUGCGUGCAACUAGCGGCUCUCGAUUGGACUACGUUAGCCUAAAUUGCGUAAUUAAAAAAAAAAAAAUUGCAGCGAAGCUUCCCCUCAAAGACAAGCGAGGACCUGUGACCGAGCGGAGAUAGCUUCUCAAUUACGCACCUUCACUUCGUGCUCGAGCUCCUUUUAAGUCGCUCACCCCUCAAAAAAGCGGGUAGGAGAAUGAGAAUCACCAACAUGUUGUGUUCCUUUGGUUGAGAUGAGAAGGAAGGAAUUAGGGGUCCUGCCAACAGGUCCAGAGUACUCUCGACAUGGGUUGAAUUAGUCAUUUUGUCUCGAGGUCCACAGGGCUCCUUCCAGGACAAGCUUCCAGAGAAAUCCUUUCCCGGAUGCCCUUGCAGUCAUAAGCCCCAUAAGUUACUAAGGGGAGCUUUCUUGGAACAGAUUUCGCAGCUAGGAUGACUGGAUGUAGAAACUGUAAGAUCAAUUUCAGCGCGCGCGUGCCAGGCUUAGGUGGGGAAGGAAUUCCCGCGUUCUGGCCCCGGGUCGCGCCUUUCGCCCCAGUCGGGGGGUAGUGGGCAGGUCUCAGCAGCCUCCGCAGACCUCGGAGCAUCCCGAAGUCUUGAUUAUUGUUAUUUUAUUUACUUAUUUAUUUUUAGCUAGGAGAGAAGAGGGCCCCUUGAUGAGAGGAUUAGCGUGCGCUUUUUCUCUCCCGCCUGGCAUACAGCCUAACUCCCUAACAGCCGCGCACUUCCCUCUUCCCGGUUUUGAAAGCCAAAGAGAUGAGUCAAACUCAAACGCCACAGAAUGACAAUCUGAGCUUCUCGCCCUGUCUCUUCCAACUUCCCCCAACCCCGCCCCUCGUCCCGCUUUCGUUUAGGUCUUGGAUUCGAGGCAAGUCUAUAGGUUAGUCUUGGGCGGAAGAGAGUCUGGACAGGUGCCAUCGGGGGCACCUACCCUGAGUUGUCACAUUCUCCUUGGGGGUUAAUGAGCCACCGACUGCGUCUCCCUUUGAUAACCUGGCUGGGCACGUGAACUCAGCCAUCUCGGUACUGGGGGGGACGGUGACGUAGAGUUUUUCUUUAUCCCUUUUCUCUUUCAGCGGAGACUUCUAGGAGAAAAACUUUUUUAAAAAACUUUAAAUAUUUUGGUGUAUAUAGAAACGAAAAACAAAUUUCCCAAAUGGGAGGCGGGGAAUCAAAGGAAAAAAAAAAAAAAAUGACAGCGGUCAUUGCCUGCCCUACCCCGGUGCAGGAAAAGGAACCGCGUUUCAGAAGAGAAUUGGUUAAGUAGAUCCUUUGGGAAAAUAAUAUAAUACACAAUAGAUACACGAUACAGAUGAUUUGAGAAGUUCUGCUCCCACUGAAAGCCUUGUGGGGAGACAUUAUUUGGUUGAUUUCACAGUAUUACAUCUCCUUUUGAAUUUUUUUUUCCGUCAGCGUUGGUUCCUUAAUUAGGAGGCACAAUGAAGUUUCUAACAGAUGUAGUCAGCCAGAAACUCUGAUCCAAAAGAAUCAGUAUAAUUAAUUUUAAGGGACAUCUUUAGUUUAUAAUGCCUGAAAUUAAAAUAUGAUGUGUUUUAAACACCGUGGUUCAAAAACACAGGGAAACAUAUUUGUUCCAGAGUCGUGUAGUGACACCAUUUCCUUGCUCUGGGUUCAGUGAAAAAGGCUUCAGAAGGAGAUGGCUCCUCUCUUCUCUAGCUCCAGUACCUCUUUAUUCCAACUUGAUUUCUUUGCAUCAAGAAACAUCUUAGGAAAUUCUGCUUUUAAAAUGUUUCCUGAUUUUUAAAGUCAGCAAGACAAGAUGAAAUCCUUUACAUACCACAUGGUCCUGAACAGAUCACACAAAUAUUUUUUUCUUAUAACCUCACUGUUAUAAAGAAUAUGCUUGAACAGCAAUUAAUCUAAGUAUGGUUUUCAAAUAUGUAUAGUUUAAUCUGAAUGAAUGUUGCCAAACUCAUAGUACACCAAAAUAUAAGCACAAAGGUCAACUUCUUUAUAAUAAGUGCCAGAUAAAUGUGAUAAUCAGUGUUUCUUCUUGGUGAAGUGAAAAUUAAUUAAUGAUUGAUUAUUUCUGAAUUGAACAUACAGCACCAAGACAAAUUAUUAAGAUUUCCAAAUAUAUUCAGUUCUUAAUUCUUAACAGUAUCCUGCUUUUUAUGUAGUAUAUUAAAGAUUUGGCAUUAUAAAUUACAUUUCCUAAGCCUUGGAAAGAAGUGGAAAGUUAAUCUGUUUUCUAGAGCUUGCAACCCCUCCUCUGACAAAAACCCUAUGAUGUGGACUGUAUUUUAAUAUGUGCCAUGUUUUGAAACCCGUUUUUAACAAACUUCAGCCUCUGUGCACUAUUAACUUCAGUAAUCUAUUAGAUCUUUAUGGCUAUUUUAAGUAAAAGUUUUUAAAAAGUAAAUACCAAGAGAGAAUAUUGCAAAGUAAAGUCUGUAUCUUCUUAGUAACUUAUAUCCAUCUGAGACUUCAGAUUUAUAAGUACAUUUCAUUUUAUAAUGAUAACAUCUUUGAAAGGGUGUGACAUAUAUUAUCAUCUCUCUUUGACAGGGAGAUGAUUCUGACACAAAUGUUUCUGCUAACUAGACUGUCUCCUGUUUCAAGUCACAUCACCAAGAUUUUGAUUUGCCAUAUUUAAAUAAAUAAGAAAGAAACGCUAGCCUUGCAAAUGCUACCUCUUAUUUCUCUGCUGCUUUUAUAACUGUGAUUCCUUCACUUAACCUGCCCUGUGCUGUACACUUACACUAUAUACUCAAAGGUGGCUGAAUUCUGAGCAAUAAAAAUCUUGAUGGGCAAUCUAAUUUAAAUGACAAAUGUGUAUUAGGUAGCUGGGAAAGGUAAAAAGUAGAAGACUUGAAAUCCAGAGAUUACAAAUAAAAAUGCCUCACCAAUAAGCAUAAGGUGCUGGGAUGGAUCGAUGUUACUCUUCCCCAAAAUUCUUUUAAUAGCAGUAUUUUAGGUUUUGUGCUAAGUAGCUUCUUUUAGCUGUCUAAACUGUUAGUGAGAUUUGUCAUGUCUCAGGGAUAGCCUGAAAGUGUGGGCCAGGACUAUCAUUUUUUAAAAUCAUUUCUUUCAGUCUGUUCUCUCUCUUUUUAAUAUUAGUACAGUUGUUCAAUUGAUGGUACAAGUUUAGUCCUUUCUAAACAAAAUUACUUAUUUGUUCUUUAGAGUUAAUGACAUUUCUCAAUUGCACUUUAUUAAGAAUCUCAUUAUAUUUAGGAAACUGCCCAGUUCUGUCUCCUGAACUGAUUAGAAGUGAUGUUACUGCACGUAGGACUAAAGUUUCCCUAAGUAUUGCUAUCAGUCUACUUAUAAUUCUUUUUUAUUAGAAGUAGGUUGGAAGAGUUGCAAAGGCAAAAACUUGUCUUCUCUUGUAAAAGGGAUUUUAAAGUAUUUCUUUACCUAUUGGAAAUUAUAAAAGUAAUUGGAGGCGUUACAAACUACAGGAAAUGACUGGAAAAUAAUUAAAAGGAGAGAUCUCUGGGCUUUGUAAUGGGCAUUUGGAGGAGAGCUUCCAGAGUAUGCAUUUUGAAAAAGGGAACCAUACCAUCCAUUUCAGUAGUAUUUUACCAUUCAGUAGUUAAAUAUGUUGAUUUCUUACCCUGCAAAAAUGUACUUUAAGUCACAGAUCUUUCUUUCAAGAUUUUAGCCACAUUUGCUCUCAAGUUUUAAAUGGUCCUGUAAACAAAGCUGCUUGUGUAAGCAAUGGAAGGCUUUGUGCACCAAAUCGAAUGUCUUUCAACAGUUGCCUGAGUAAAAUACAUGUGGAGUUUUCCCUAAUGAAAUUUUAAAUAUGGCUCUGAAUUCUAAUAUAAUCUGUGGAUAAUACAUGAACAAAAGCAUGUGUGUUAAACAUUACCAUUGCAGAAGAAGAAUAUUGUGUUUCUUUUUACUGGAACACUUUAAAAUUUAGUAAUGGUAAGGAUCAUUGCUUUAAAGAAAAGAUCACUGCAUGUAGUGUUUAUUCACAUCUGACAACUGAGAGUCAAUCUUUUGUAACUAAUUCACUUAGUAAAAUAAAAGGGUGCUGCUGUAUGCUCAGGCAGAAUUAAAAAGUCAACUGAUUGUUAGAUUUUAGAAAUAUUCUAUUAGAAAACUACAUGCUUUUGUCGAUUUCUAUUACUGUAUAUAAUUAUAAAGUGCAAAGACUUUGAAUACUGUGAACUUCCAGUAUUUUUGUUACAAAUGUAAUUUAAAUCUGGUUAUGGUUUUCUAACUAGUUGGUUGUUACAGAUUAACAUUGCUGCCUCUCACAAUAUUUUACACACAAAAUAUCUGUGAAUUGCAUUAGUUUGUGGCUAAAUAUUCACCCUUUUAGGGUGCUUUAAAUAUAAGAGAAAAGACGUAAAACUUUCUAUAAUAUUUAUAUUGGAUGAUAAGUAUUCUCUAUCCCUGACAUAAAUUAAUCUAAAAGGUAUGACAUUUUGGUUGACAAGAAGUUUAGACUGUAAAUAAACCCAUGAGUCAAAUGGAUACACUAAGUAGUUUCCUUUUAUACCUUUGACACAGUUAUUAAUAAUUUUACUUUAUUUAGAUAGCUACCACUCCCAGGAUUGCCAUUCUCAAUCUCUUCAUGACUCAGAUACAGGGGAGCCAGUUCACCUAGUUUAAAAUACAAUGACAUUAAUUCCCAGUUUCUCUCAGUACGUCAUUCCUUCUCACAUCUCUCCUUUGUCAGCCCAAGGACUGUUAGCCAACUCUCAUCAAAAGGAAACAUUUUAUCAUUUACUAUUCUGUCUCUGCUAGGCUGGUUAACAUUUAUCUGCACUUACUGGGUUAUUACAAAUCAACCUGGCAAUGGUUUUGCAUUGGGAUUUUUAAACAGAAUACCCAUGUACUUCUUCACCCAAAUUUAGAAAACAAAUUGCGAUCCAUUAGGAAAAAAAAAAAAUCUGUGUACAAAAGUGACAGAUCAUGUUUUUGUUUGUAUUAACCUAGAUCAAGACACCAGCUUCCAGAAAGUUUCUGGCUAGUAAUUAAGUAGAAGAUCGUGCCUCGGAACCAGAGAGAAUUGGUAUCCCAAGUACACAGCAGACCAAAUGCCCUUCCAAGUGGUUUUCCAUUGGGAACCUUUCUCCUUCUGGUUUCUCUCUUCAGUUUUGCUCAUCAAAAUACUGUCAGCUCCUGAUGGUCCAAGUAGACUCAAUCCCAAGGGCAUCCUUUGUCCAGUUGGUGACAAUCUUGUAGACUUCUGUUGUAUUUGUUGCCACUUCUGUUACUUGCCUUAUUUCAGUCCUCUUGGACAUUACUUCCACUGUGUGAUGAACUUAAUCAUCAGGACUGGCCUUGCAGUUCUCUGCCGUCACAUAAUGUGGCACUGACUCUGGGUCUUGAGUGCAGUAGAAGAGACUUGGACCCAGUGUUAGCAUAAGUGCUCAGUUAUUCAGUCGUAUCUGACUCUGUGACCCCCUGGACUGCAGCUCGCCAGUCUACUCUGUCCAUGGGAUUUCCCAGGCAAGAAUACUGGAGGGGGUUGCCAUUUCCUCCUCCAGGGUA